CUGGCCAAAUGCUUCUACUCUGAGUAGAAAUUCAAGUUCUCCAUGGAAAAGCAUCCCUGAGAGAUGGAGGGCUAUCCUACUAAACUCUACUGAGCAUUGGGAAGCGCCCUAGGGACUGUAGAUAAAGCCCUAGUGCUGCUGUGGAGUUCUGCUCCGUCUGCCCACCUCCCUCUUAAUCUUGAAAGACCCCCUCCCAGAAAGGGAAUUGUACAAGCCCAAGGCCCUCAACUAUAGAAGUAAAAAGUAAGUUUUUAGAUAUGUGGGACAAGCUGACCCAUCAUUUAGACGAAACAGACCAGAAAAGAAAACAAAAUGCAGAAACCAGACUAAAUUAUGGGCACUGCUCCAUGGGCCACCUGGCAGGAAAAAGAAAAAGUCCCUGACCCCCCCGGAAGCCCUGACCACCAUGUACUUUUUGCUAACUCAUUGUUAUGAUUAUAGCCAAAAUAGGUAACAUACACGUAUGCCUCAUUUACUCCACCAAUCACAUCCCUGUACUGGGACGCCCACAGAUACCUGUGUAUCCUGAUCAAUAAAAAUCCUCUUGCAGAUUGCAGCCUGUGGACUCGGUCUGGUCAUUGGGCUUGAGGAUCUCCCUCCUGAGGGAAGAUUCUCUCUGAGAGUCUUACAUAUGGGGGCUCGUCCGGGAUCGGAGAUCCUCUGCCUAGAGACCACCGACCACCCACCGGGAGGCUAAAAGACCUACAGGUGAUACAGAAAGAAAUCUGCUCACAGCUGACAGCAGCCUAUGCCCCGGGGACCCCUGAGACAUGUCAUCAGUUCCAGGUUAGAGACUACAGCUACACUGAGCCCAGACACUCGAGCCUCGCUGGAAAGGACCAUACCUGGUGCUGCUGACCACCCUGACAGCCAUCAAGUCUCAGCCCUCACCAGCAGCGUACUAGCUGUUGGGGCUGAGAGCUGGGACCUAGAGGGACACUCAGAUCUUCAAAAAGCUCCCUAGACUUAAGUGAUUGGGAGGUUGCUAUAAUGCUCACUUGAGGAGUGUGUUUUAGAAACAAGAAUUUCAUAUUUGCCUGUUUGCCCUGGGUUCCCUCGGAAUAGGUGUAAGGAUAGGCUUGAUUUUUAUUGCAAAUGAUGUAAUAUUACAUAUGUUAGUACUCCUAACACUUCUUGGGACUGUGCCUCAGGGAUCACAACCUAUAUAAGUUUAGAAGUUCUAAAAGACCUUGGUGUAUAGGUUCAGAUAGUGUCCAGAUUAGAAUCCUGAUGCUAAAGACUUAAUAAGACACAAAAGAGAGUUGAGAAUUAUUUAAGGCUAUCUAGGUGCUACAAGGGCAGCACAAGGACAUCUGCUAUUGCCCUAUAAUGCAAGGCUUAUAGAGAAUUCAGAACUGCCAUUGACUCAGAUAUGAAAAGAGUAAAAAAGACUUUUUAGCUGACCUCCAAGAACACCUAACCUCCCUCUCAGAGGUAGUCCUUCAAAAUAGAAAAAGAUUAGACCUGAUAUUCCUUAAAGAAGGAGUAUGUGUGCUACACUAAAAGAAGAAUGUUGUUUCUAUGCAGAUCAGAUAGGAAUAAUAAGAGAUAUAGUCUUUCAGUCAUUCAAACUUUUGUGCUGAGACAACAGUAUCAGAUGGUGAAACAACAAAAAACAGAGGUACCUUAACCAAGUUGAGUGGAAGAUUCCACUCAAGGACAAAAAGAAAAUGGGGGAAUGAAAGACCCCCUCCCAGAAAGGGAAUUGUACAAGCCCAAGGCCCUCAACUAUAGAAGUAAAAAGUAAGUUUUUAGAUAUGUGGGACAAGCUGACCCAUCAUUUAGACGAAACAGACCAGAAAAGAAAACAAAAUGCAGAAACCAGACUAAAUUAUGGGCACUGCUCCAUGGGCCACCUGGCAGGAAAAAGAAAAAGUCCCUGACCCCCCGGAAGCCCUGACCACCAUGUACUUUUUGCUAACUCAUUGUUAUGAUUAUAGCCAAAAUAGGUAACAUACACGUAUGCCUCAUCUGUACUGGGACGCCCACAGAUACCUGUGUAUCCUGAUCAAUAAAAAUCCUCUUGCAGAUUGCA